rnacentral:rRNA from 1 species
UACGUAGGGUGCAAGCAUUAAUCGGAUUUAUUGGGCGUAAAGGGCGCGCAGGCGGACUUGCAAGUCAGGUGUGAAAUUCCGGGGCUCAACCUCGGAGCGGCACUUGAAACUACAGGUCUAGAGGAUAGGCGGAGAAAACGGAAUUCCACAAGUAGCGGUGAAAUGCGUAGAUAUGUGGAAGAACACCGGUGGCGAAGGCGGUUUUCUAGCUUAUUCCUGACGCUGAGGCGCGAAAGCAAGGGGAUCAAACAGG